rnacentral:rRNA from 1 species
CCCCUAGAUGUUCUGGGCCGCACGCGCGUUACACUGAACAGUUCAACAAGUCUUAACCUUGGCCGAUAGGUCUGGGUAAUCUUUGAACGCUGUUCGUGAUUGGGAUAGACCUUUGCAAUUAUGGGUCUUCAACGAGGAAUUCCUAGUAAACGCAAGUCAUCAGCUUGCAUUGAUUACGUCCCUGCCCUUUGUACACACCGCCCGUCGCUCCUACCGAUGGGGUGAUCCGGUGAAUGAUUCGGACUUCCGCAGUGCUAGCUACUAGCUUUGUGGAAGAAAGUCUUGUGAACCUUAUCACUUGGAGGAAGGAGAANUCGUAACA